rnacentral:lncRNA from 1 species
GCAGGAACCUCAGGACUGAUGUGACCUAGAAUAACAUUACACUCUCGUUGAUUAUGACUGGCUUUACCACUGUCAAAUUGUAGGGGAGAAAAGAUGGCGACAGCCCUGGCAACGGACAUCUUCUCAAAAUUACUUGGCCAAAGGUGCUUUUUCGUCAGGCUCCUUACAAGCCUGAAUGCACCACCUAGCUUCUCUUGCAUGUCAUGUAGGUUCCUGUGACAAAAUGCAAGUUACACAAUAAAUUUCUAAGGUAAUGAAAAGCUGCAUUAUUUCAUUCACCUCAAGUAGUCUGGAACAAUCAGCACUCCAUUAUUUCUGAAAAUUCUUGUGUCGAGGAACUGAUUUCUGAUGUUCUUGAUUACAUGGCAAUAAUCAAAUGAGAGGAACAGUGGCCUGUCUGAAUCCAGGGGGUGACUGAAAAAAGUGAAUGCUGUUAGUACAGUCAGUAAAAUUGUUAAAAGAACAUAUUUGCAUUUAGUACAGCUUAUUUUUACGAAAAAACAUUUAUCGAACAUAAAAGGCUUUGCAACCUUUAGCAAAAAUGUGGUUUAGCAAUUACUCACGUGACAACAGGGCCUAUUUUCC